ACCACCGUUCGCUGCAGCUUAGAAUCGCCGGAAACCGCCAUGCAGUUAAGCUUAGUUUCGUCCGUUUAGUAAUUCGCCGAUAACUCUCUAACCGUUGCGAAUCUCGUGCAUCCAAGACCAUCAUCGUGUUCCUCUCGUCAAGACGAAGCCGUAGACACCAACCACGCCUCAAUCGGAGCCCGGACGAAGCCGCACGCGCCUCCCGAAGAUUCGCCUCGGCCGCGCGUGAAACACACGCGCCGCCGCCGUCCGCCGCAACUCCGCCGCCGGACCACCGUCCUCCGCCGCAGCUCCGCCGUCGCCGCCGGCCAACUUUCCGGUAAGCCACCGCCGGAUCUCCGCCGUUGCCGCCGGUGACCGCCACCGGUGACUCGCCGGAGACUCGCCAACUCGGCCGAGUCGACCCGAUUUGGAGUCCAUUUGAGCAGCUGGAGUUCAUAUAUACCACUUCUCUUCAUUGCUAAGGUAUCUGCACUAGGCCGCGGAAUUUGCGGGGUACAGAGACGUUUGUACUAGGCCGUGUGAUUGCGGGGGCACAUGACGUCUGUGCUAGCUACGCCUUGUUUGAGAGAUCGCGGGGUACGGAGAUAUCUGUACUAGGCCGUGUGUUUAGCGGGGUACAGAGACGUAUGUACUAGGCCGCUUGUUUGUGGAGAUUGCGGGGGUACAGAGUGGACUACUGUACUUACGACGCUGUAGAGUUAUAUAUAUAUAUAUUUAUAUCCUUAUGAGGAAAUGCGGUAUGUUAUUAUCGCAUUGGUUGUAGCGUGUCUAGUCCACUAGACAUAUGUGAUUGUUCUGUGUGGUGUAAUAGACACCGUGUUUGCUUCAUGCUAGAGCUAGGCCUACAUAGUUGUAGUGCUAUGAACUGAGUCAGUGGUUUGCGGUUUAGCAUCCCAUACCUCACUGAGCGAUUCCCCUGUC